rnacentral:misc_RNA from 1 species
AAAGUCGUAACAAGGUCUCCGUUGGUGAACCAGCGGAGGGAUCAUUAUAGAGUUUACACUUUACAACCCUGUGAAUUUACAGUUGCUUCGUGUGCUUCGGCACACGGAACCAUCCAUCUCUUUAUUUUUUCUACUGAGUUUUAAAUAUAAACGUGAAAACUUUCAACAACGGAUCUCUUGGUUCUG